rnacentral:rRNA from 1 species
AUUGAACGCUGGCGGCAGGCCUAACACAUGCAAGUCGAACGAGUGGCGGACGGGUGAGUAAUGUCUGGGAAACUGCCCGAUGGAGGGGGAUAACUACUGGAAACGGUAGCUAAUACAGCAUACCAUCGGAUGUGCCCAGGUGGGAUUAGCUAGUAGGUGGGGUAACGGCUCCCCUCGGCGACGAUCACUAGCUGGUCUGAGAGGAUGACCAGGCACACGGGAAAUGAGACACGGUCCAGACUCCUACGGGAGGUAGACGUGGGGAAUAUUGCACAAGGGGCGCAAGCCUGAUGCAGCCAUGCCGCGUGUAUGAAGAAGGCCUUCGGGUUGUAAAGUAAUUUCAGCGGGGAGGCGUUACCCGCAGAAGAAGCACCGGCUAACUCCGUGCCAGCAGCCGCGGUAAUUC